GAACUAAGGAACUGGCUCAAUGAUUAAGUGCCCCUGAGUUCAAUCCCUGUAUUUAAAAAAAAAGAAAAAAAGUAAAGGAGAAAGGUAAUGACAAGGGAGUAAACUUGAAGAAGAGUCUUUUGCUGUGCUUGAUAAUGAAAGAAUUUUGAAUAUUUAAAUUCAUUUGAAAAAUGCUAACAGAAGAGAGGUUGAAGAGGGGGAAGGGAGAACAUAAUUAUGAUGGAGUAGCAUUCCCUAAGUAACAUCCUCUAUGACAUGAGAAAAUCACAGACUCAAACUAGAGGAAUGUUUUAGUCAGCUUUUUCAUCACUGUGACCAAAAGACCUGACAAGAAAAUUUUAGAGGAGGAAAAGUUUUAUGUUUUCAGAGGUCUCAAUCACUUACAUCAGGCUCUGGGCCUGAUGUAAGGCAGAAUGUCAUGACAAAGGGUCUGAGAGGAAAACAGCUUAGGACAUGACAAUUAGGAAGCAGAGAGAGUUCCACUCAUCAGGGACAAAAUAUAAAUUAAAGGCAUGCCCCUAUCUUCUCCAGUCACACCUUACCUACCGAUAUUUGCUGCAUAGUUAAUUUGUAUCAAUGGAUCAAUCCACUGAUUUAGGUUAUAGCUCUUAAAAAGUAGUAUUCAAACAUUACUGUUAUGGGCUGAAUUGUGUAUCCCCAA
rnacentral:lncRNA from 1 species